rnacentral:rRNA from 1 species
UGGAAAGUAAAAAUCGUAACAAGGUUUCCGUAGGUGAACCUGCGGAAGGAUCAUUGUCGAAACCUGCCUAGCAGAACGACCCGAGAACAUGUUUCAACGCUUGGGGGCGGAGGGUCUUGCGGCUCUUUGCCCCCUUAUCCUAGGAGGCAAGUGUCUUGCGUGUUGCAUUUCGGUGCUUGCGCUUGACUGACCCUCCCGGGCGUACUGAACACCGGCGUGAAUUGCGCCAAGGAACUUGAAUGAAAGAGCGUUUCCCCCGCCGUCCCGGAGACGGUGCUCGUGCGGGUGGUUUCGUCGUCUUCAAUAUGUCUAAACGACUCUCGGCAACGGAUAUCUCGGCUCUCGCAUCGAUGAAGAACGUAGCGAAAUGCGAUACUUGGUGUGAAUUGCAGAAUCCCGUGAACCAUCGAGUCUUUGAACGCAAGUUGCGCCCGAAGCCAUUAGGCCGAGGGCACGUCUGCCUGGGCGUCACACGUCGUUGCCCCCCCCAACCCCCUCGGGAGUUGGAUGGGACGGAUGAUGGCCUCCCGUGUGCUCAGUCACGCGGUUGGCAUAAAUACCAAGUCCUCGGCGACCAACGCCACGACAAUCGGUGGUUGUCAAACCUCGGUUUCCUGUCAAAGUCGCCACAGAUCGCGCUAUUCGCAGACAAUGGAAGUAAAACUGUCGCACGGCACAUCACUAAGCGGAGACCUGAGGAAACACCCCC